GAAUCUUCCACAAUGGACGAAAGUCUGAUGGAGCAAUGCCGCGUGAGUGAAGAAGGUUUUCGGAUCGUAAAACUCUGUUGUGAGGGAAGAACAAGUACGAGAGUAACUGCUCGUACCUUGACGGUACCUCAGUAGAAUGCCACGGCUAACUACGUGCACGCAGCCGGGGUAAUACGUAGGUGGCAAGGGUUGUCCGGAAUUAUUGGGCGUAAAGCGCGCGCAGGCGGUCCUUUAAGUCUGAUGUGAAAUCCCACGGCUCAACCGUGGAAGGUCAUUGGAAACUGGGGGACUUGAGUACAGAAGAGGAAAGUGGAAUUCCAAGUGUAGCGGUGAAAUGCGUAGAGAUUUGGAGGAACACCAGUGGCGAAGGCGACUUUCUGGUCUGUAACUGACGCUGAGGCGCGAAAGCGUGGGGAGCAAACA
rnacentral:rRNA from 1 species